rnacentral:rRNA from 1 species
GACGAACGCUGGCGGCGUGCUUAACACAUGCAAGUCGAACGGUGAAGCCCAGCUUGCUGGGUGGAUCAGUGGCGAACGGGUGAGUAACACGUGAGCAACCUGCCCUCCACUUCGGGAUAAGCCUUGGAAACGGGGUCUAAUACCGGAUAUGAGCGCUCAUCGCAUGGUGGGUGUUGGAAAGUUUUUCGGUGGGGGAUGGGCUCGCGGCCUAUCAGCUUGUUGGUGGGGUGAUGGCCUACCAAGGCUUCGACGGGUAGCCGGCCUGAGAGGGCGACCGGCCACACUGGGGACUGAGACACGGCCCAG